CAUCUCUUUUGGCGCUUAUGGACGUAUGGAAAAUGUAAACAAAGUGAGUGGUUGAUAUAAAUGCGGAGUGCAGAAUUUUGUUGAUAAUUUGAAUCGAAAUCGACUACUGUUUAGUGCAAAUGUAAUGAAAUUGAUGGGUAAAGGCCGUAGGUCUGGUGUGCAACGCAUGAAUCGUCGUUCAAAGCGGCCGCACGCCCGCAGCAGCACGGAAUGCGACCAUGCAAAAUAUCCGGCGCCGGAUAAACCGAAUGAGAUGCUGUGCCGCAGUAGGAGAUGAUUUGCAAGCGGCAGGUUAUUUUAGAUGUGUGUGAUUCCUAUUUUGUAGACAACCAUACAGCGGCAUGGAUAAAGGCAACAUAAAACCUCACUGCGACACUACCAGCGACGUUUUUGGUUUGGUGGUUUUUGAAAUGACGAUCUGGAUGAAAGAUGGCUGUUCAGUGAGCAUCAGAGCACGCAUGUUCACAAACCUUCAUGCACCGAUAUGCACAGCAAGGGAAAGCAGCUAGUUAACGAUCAGGUGGUUUGCUCCCGGUUGAACACGUCGUGCUGACCCGGCCAAGAUACCAACCAUUCUCCAGAUCACUCGGCCUGGGCAUGCCUUCCUUUAUAAUCAUCAGUUUUCGAUCUACGAUUGGUGCUGCUCCACCUGCCUCAGCCCUCUGCCCAGCAUCACGUCCAUCGGAAUGUCCGGUUUGACGUCAGUAAGCGUGUGGUUCAUAUCGGUGAUGUGCGGAUUGACCUGUAAUGUCGUUGGUAGAUUCGUAGGUGCAAGAAAGCAUAAACGAUUCCAACCGAUUGGGACCGUGAAUUCGGGUCGGGUAGGACUAAAAUAGGUUCAAGAACCGGCCUAAACUCGCUGCACCAAUUGGUCGAUGUGUUUAUGUGUUAUGACCUAGCGGACCUGCAGCAUCCACGGAUCUGUAUGAUAUUCUGCUUUGCUCGGACACGACUCCACGUCGGAUUGUGAAAUGAAUCGUAUGUCCCACCACUAGUCAAAACGCGUCUGGAGUGUUUGAUAUGUAGACAAACGCAACGUGCCGGGGAGGAAGGGCCACAAGAGAGAAGAUCUGUAUGAUCUGCAGCGUAGUUUGGCUCUUUUGUUUGACAAAGGUGCAACUUAUUUAAAGCAUAAAUCGUGCUUGUAAUUUAAAUAA